rnacentral:rRNA from 1 species
AGAAACGGGUGGGCCCUCGAAAUCCUGUGGCGGGAGGAUUCAGUCUGGAAUCGUGGUCGCGCCGUUCGGAAACCCAGGAAGGGCUUCCCGAACACGGGGCCGUCCGAUCGCGAGCUUCCGCGAGGCCAGACGCAUUUGUCUCCCGCUCGAAGGACGCCGCAGCCUGUCCGGCAGUGCAAACGUGACGGCCUGAGAGGCGGGCGACGGCAGGUGGCCGGUGGGGGGUCUCGUACCCCCUAUCGGUUGUUAGCCGGCCCGUCGGUGGCACGUCGCUGGACAGAGGUACCGAGAUGCCCUCCGGGGCGUUCCCACCUCCCCUCCACAAGAGGACGGGACAUAACGUCGCGAGCGAAGGCAGCCGCGCGGCCGCACUCCUCCGGAGUGGGCCAGCGUCUAGUCGGCAUCGUCGGCGACGGAGGACCCGUAGGAGGUAGGAGGUUGGCGGCGAGUAGGUCGGUCACCCACCCGACCCGUCUUGAAACACGGACCAAGGAGUCUAACAUGUGCGCGAGUCAAUGGGUCUCGAAUAAGCCCAGAGGCGCAAUGAAAGCGAAGGUCGGCACCACGUCGACCGAGUCGGGAUCCCGCGCCCCCGCGGCGCGGGCGCACCGACGACCCGUCCUGUGCUGCUUGCAGCUUGGGCGGAGUGAGAGCGUACACGUUGGGACCCGAAAGAUGGUGAACUAUGCCCGGACAGGACGAGGCCAGAGGAAACAUCUGGUGGAGGUCCGCAGC